rnacentral:piRNA from 1 species
UGGAAGGACUCAAUCAUGGUGUCAGGACUC